UUUUGGACAAUGGGCGCAAGCCUGAUCCAGCCAUUCCGCGUGAGUGAAGAAGGCCUUCGGGUUGUAAAGCUCUUUCGCAAGGGAAGAAAACUUACUUUCUAAUAAAGAGUGAGGUUGACGGUACCUUGAUAAGAAGCACCGGCUAACUACGUGCCAGCAGCCGCGGUAAUACGUAGGGUGCGAGCGUUAAUCGGAAUUACUGGGCGUAAAGCGUGCGCAGGCGGCUUUGUAAGUCAGAUGUGAAAUCCCCGAGCUCAACUUGGGAACUGCGUUUGAAACUACAAGGCUAGAAUAUGUCAGAGGGGGGUAGAAUUUCACGUGUAGCAGUGAAAUGCGUAGAGAUGUGGAGGAAUACCAAUGGCGAAGGCAGCCCCCUGGGAUUUAUAUUGACGCUCAUGCACGAAG
rnacentral:rRNA from 1 species